UACGGAGGGAGCUAGCGUUGUUCGGAAUUACUGGGCGUAAAGCGCACGUAGGCGGCUUUUUAAGUCAGGGGUGAAAUCCCGGGGCUCAACCCCGGAACUGCCCUUGAAACUGGAGAGCUAGAAUCUUGGAGAGGCGAGUGGAAUUCCGAGUGUAGAGGUGAAAUUCGUAGAUAUUCGGAAGAACACCAGUGGCGAAGGCGACACACUGGGCCAUUACUGACGCUGAGGCGCGAAAGCGUGGGGAGCAAACAGG
rnacentral:rRNA from 1 species